GAGGAAUAUUGGUCAAUGGAGGCAACUCUGAACCAGCCAUGCCGCGUGCAGGAAGACUGCCCUAUGGGUUGUAAACUGCUUUUAUACAGGAAGAAACCUUCCCACGUGUGGGAAGCUGACGGUACUGUAAGAAUAAGGACCGGCUAACUCCGUGCCAGCAGCCGCGGUAAUACGGAGGGUCCAAGCGUUAUCCGGAAUCAUUGGGUUUAAAGGGUCCGCAGGCGGGCAAUUAAGUCAGAGGUGAAAUCCUAUAGCUCAACUAUAGAACUGCCUUUGAUACUGGUUGUCUUGAGUUACUUGGAAGUAGAUGGAAUAUGUGGUGUAGCGGUGAAAUGCAUAGAUAUCACAUAGAACACCGAUUGCGAAGGCAGUCUACUACGAGUAUACUGACGCUCAUGGACGAAAGCGUGGGGAGCGAAC
rnacentral:rRNA from 1 species